GUUGAACUCUUCAUCAAGUUUCUUUUGAAUAUUAAAUCCCCCAGCUCCGGCUCUGUGCGUGUCUCCACCAGCCGCUUCAAUAGCCACCGGUGAGUUGUCAUUGCUACCAUAGCUCCGACUAGCAACCAGCCGCCACCAACAGCUAUGGCCGGACUUUGGCGAAAACAACUACCCUUUUCCGGCGAACCAGCCACCGCGCUGCCCUCCCUCUCUUCCUCUUCUCUUUUCUGUCGCAUGUCGCCGGAUGGGACGACCGGCGGGCUCCCAACGCAUCACCACCGCCUCUAUCUCACCCGAUUUAGCCUGAUUUGGGCAAAAUUUUAUUUCUCCGGCGUUGCUACGUUGAACACCGUUGAAGCAACGCCACUAAUAGUCUUUGAUGUCUCCGAAUCCAUGAUUUAUUUAUUUUUAUGUUAUUUUUCAAAGGAAAACAGAUUUGUGCAUUACUUGUACUCCAAUAAUAUUUGAUUAGUUUGGAUUGCUUCUCAAUAUUUUUUUAGUGACCUUGAAUUUUCUAACAAGAACUUGAUCUUCUCCGAUGAAGAUUACUGUUUGUGGGUUCUAUUAACGAUUCAUUUUGGUGAUUGUUGCUCUAUUUUAGUGUUGCUUCUGAUAUUUG
rnacentral:lncRNA from 1 species